AUGUACGAUACGAUGGUGUCUGAAAUGAAGCUUCUUCAUGACGACAUCCUAAAUAGAGAGCUGGCGGCCAAGCUCGACUUUUGCAAUCCUUUGCAAAAUCUUCUGGUAUACACGGUGAAGUUUGAGGGAUCAUCCUUAGUCAAGCUAUGGGCGCUUCAUCUAGAAAACAAGCUCAAGUAUGACAACGUGAGGAUGAUCGCCAUGGCGGACCCUUAUCACAUGCACCACAAUAACCUUAAGAUUCGAGAAGGUAUGAAAGUAAUAAAGAUCUACCUUGUAGAAUUCAUGGUUCAACAUAGACACAUAGACUACCAUCUUGUGCCCCACUGUAUGUGGUAA
rnacentral:rRNA from 1 species